rnacentral:rRNA from 1 species
UACAGAGGUCCCGAGCGUUGUUCGGAUUCACUGGGCGUAAAGGGUGCGUAGGCGGUUAGAUAAGUCUGACGUGAAAUGCCGGAGCCUAACUCCGGAAUGGCGUCGGAAACUAUUUGGCUUGAGGAUUGGAGGGGGGAUUGGAAUUCUCGGUGUAGCAGUGAAAUGCGUAGAUAUCGAGAGGAACACCCGUGGCGAAGGCGAGUCCCUGGACAAUUCCUGACGCUGAGGCACGAAAGCUAGGGGAGCAAACAGG